UGUGUAUUUUGUCUACACAGCA
rnacentral:miRNA from 10 species